rnacentral:ribozyme from 11 species
UUUUAAAAACAAACACAAAGAACCAGGGCAAAGGUGUUAAUCUAAAGAAGAGUCAAAAUUUUCUGUCAUCAGCUCUUUAACUUAGUUGUAUCUCCCCAUCUCCUUUAAAUGAAGUAGAAAGAAAGCAAGAAA